rnacentral:lncRNA from 1 species
AGGACAGGUGUACGUAAUUGAUUGGACGAUUCGAUUUUAAGGGUGAUAUAUAAAUUAGAAUUUCAAAAUUUCGUUUCAUUAUCUGCAUACAUCAUCUCUUUCCAAAGUUCUGAUUUCUUCUUUUCUCCUUCUUCUCUCUAGAAUUUCUUCAUUCCACUUCAUCUAUUCAAUAAUCAGGUAGUGUCUAAGCAAUCUGGGUGUCAAAAACUUCCUCUUUCAUCAAUCAAAUUCAAGUUUAGAGUCAGUAAGUUCAUCCCCUCUUCCUAGAAAUUAUGUUUUUUUGGCACAUGCAAGUCAAGUUUCGGGUUGCAUGUGUUCAUCACCUUCUUCUUCUCAUUUCUAAUCAUGGUCUCGGUCUUUUGGUUGAUCUUUUCUUCUCAAUUAGUGAACUAUA